UACGUAGGUGGCAAGCGUUGUCCGGAUUUAUUGGGUUUAAAGGGUGCGUAGGCGGUCCCAUAAGUCAGUGGUGAAAUACGGCAGCUCAACUGUCGAGGUGCCAUUGAUACUGCGGGACUUGAGUACUGAUGAGGUAGGCGGAAUUGACGGUGUAGCGGUGAAAUGCUUAGAUAUGACACAGAACACCGAUUGCGAAGGCAGCUCACUAAACUGUAACUGACGCUGAGGCACGAAAGCGUGGGGAGCAAACAGG
rnacentral:rRNA from 1 species